CCUACGGGCGGCAGCAGUGGGGAAUAUUGGACAAUGGGCGAAAGCCUGAUCCAGCCAUGCCGCGUGUGUGAAGCAGGCCUUCGGGUUGUAAAGCACUUUCAGUGGGGAAGAAAGCCUUGGGGCUAAUACCCUCGAGGAAGGACAUCACCCACAGAAGAAGCACCGGCUAACUCCGUGCCAGCAGCCGCGGUAAUACGGAGGGUGCGAGCGUUAAUCGGAAUUACUGGGCGUAAAGCGCGCGUAGGCGGUCUGAUAAGCCGGUUGUGAAAGCCCCGGGCUCAACCUGGGAACGGCAUCCGGAACUGUCAGGCUAGAGUGCAGGAGAGGAAGGUAGAAUUCCCGGUGUAGCGGUGAAAUGCGUAGAGAUCGGGAGGAAUACCAGUGGCGAAGGCGGCCUUCUGGACUGACACUGACGCUGAGGUGCGAAAGCGUGGGUAGCAAACAGGAUUAGAUACCCUAGUAGUC
rnacentral:rRNA from 1 species